GGAUCAGUGGCGGACGGGUGAGUAACACGUGAGCAACCUGGCUCUAAGAGGGGGACAACAGUUGGAAACGACUGCUAAUACCGCAUAACGUAUCGGGAUGGCAUCUUCCUGAUACCAAAGAUUUUAUCGCUUAGAGAUGGGCUCGCGUCUGAUUAGAUAGUUGGCGGGGUAACGGCCCACCAAGUCGACGAUCAGUAGCCGGACUGAGAGGUUGAACGGCCACAUUGGGACUGAGACACGGCCCAGACUCC
rnacentral:rRNA from 1 species